rnacentral:rRNA from 1 species
GGUCAAGCUACAAAGGGCUCACGGCGGAUACCUUGGCACACAGAGGCGAUGAAGGACGUGGUUACCUGCGAUAAGUCCCGGGGAGCUGGAAGCACGCUUUGAUCCGGGAAUUUCCGAAUGGGGCAACCCUUAAUACGGC